rnacentral:rRNA from 1 species
GGAUCAAUUUACUGGUCGUGCCUAUGGUACGUACUGGUUUUGUUGGUUCCUCCCUUCUGAGGAACCACGAUGUCAUUAAUUUGGUGUCGUGGGGAAUCAGGACUGUUACUUUGAAAAAAUUAGAGUGUUUAAAGCAAGCUUUGGCUUGAAUACAUUAGCAUGGAAUAAUGGAAUAGGACGUUCGAUCUUAUUUUGUUGGUUUCUAGGAUUGACGUA